UCGUAACAAGGUUUCCGUAGGUGAACCUGCGGAAGGAUCAUUACCGAGUGAGGGCCCUCUGGGUCCAACCUCCCACCCGUGUCUAUCGUACCUUGUUGCUUCGGCGGGCCCGCCGUUUCGACGGCCGCCGGGGAGGCCUUGCGCCCCCGGGCCCGCGCCCGCCGAAGACCCCAACAUGAACGCUGUUCUGAAAGUAUGCAGUCUGAGUUGAUUAUCGUAAUCAGUUAAAACUUUCAACAACGGAUCUCUUGGUUCCGGCAUCGAUGAAGAACGCAGCGAAAUGCGAUAAGUAAUGUGAAUUGCAGAAUUCAGUGAAUCAUCGAGUCUUUGAACGCACAUUGCGCCCCCUGGUAUUCCGGGGGGCAUGCCUGUCCGAGCGUCAUUGCUGCCCUCAAGCACGGCUUGUGUGUUGGGCCCCCGUCCCCCUCUCCCGGGGGACGGGCCCGAAAGGCAGCGGCGGCACCGCGUCCGGUCCUCGAGCGUAUGGGGCUUUGUCACCUGCUCUGUAGGCCCGGCCGGCGCCAGCCGACACCCAACUUUAUUUUUCUAAGGUUGACCUCGGAUCAGGUAGGGAUACCCGCUGAACUUAAGCAUAUC
rnacentral:misc_RNA from 1 species